rnacentral:siRNA from 1 species
AGGAUGUGGUCGAGUAACAGGUC